rnacentral:rRNA from 1 species
GGUGACAAACCGGAGGAAGGUGGGGAUGACGUCAAAUCAUCAUGCCCCUUAUGAUUUGGGCUACACACGUGCUACAAUGGACAAUACAAAGGGCAGCGAAACCGCGAGGUCAAGCAAAUCCCAUAAAGUUGUUCUCAGUUCGGAUUGUAGUCUGCAACUCGACUACAUGAAGCUGGAAUCGCUAGUAAUCGUAGAUCAGCAUGCUACGGUGAAUACGUUCCCGGGUCUUGUACACACCGCCCGUCACACCACGAGAGUUUGUAACACCCGAAGCCGGUGGAGUAACCUUUUAGGAGCUAGCCGUCGAAGGUGGGACAAAUGAUUGGGGUGAAGUCGUAACAAGGUAGCCGUAUCGGAAGGUGCGGCUGGAUCACCUCCUUUCUAAGGA